AAAGGUAAGCCCUGUUCAAUGGGAUUAAAUAACCGCAGUAUUAUACUGUGCGAAGGUAGCAUAAUAAUUUUUUCUUUAAAUGGGAGGUAGAAUGAAUGGGUUAACAAGAUAUUUAUUGUGUGAAUGUGAGGUUAGAAUUUUAUAAGGAGGUAAGAAUGCCUUCUUAACCUAAAGGGACGACAAGACCCUGGGAGUUUUAGAAUUAUUUGUUAUACAUAGGAUUCUUUUAGCUGGGGCGGUUAAUAAUAUAAACAUUUAUAAUGGAAACAUUUGUAUGGAAAUUUUGAGCAUAUUUUAGGCAAAAAGAUGAAACUACCCCAGGGAUAACAGCGUAAUUAGAUCUGAGAGUUCUUAUUGAAGAUAGUAGUUGCGACCUCGAUGUUGAAUUAAGCAGGCCUCUUGAAGCAGAAGGUAAGAAAGGUGAGUUUGUUCAACUCUUAAAUGUUUA
rnacentral:rRNA from 1 species